rnacentral:lncRNA from 1 species
CACGUGUGUUUUAAGUGUCACUGCAUAUAUAUAUAUUGUGGUUGUUGUAUAUGUUACCAGCUGGGUACGAAGUUUAAAUCUCCCUUAAGCCAAAGGGAAAAUGAAGGAGAACGAAGACAUUUGCACUUGCAAACCUUGAUCUAGAAUCUGACUUUUAGCUGCCAACAUAAAACACUGGCCCCUUGGCUGUUUAUAAAUGCACUGACACACAGUCGCUCUCAAAAGAUCUUGACUCCAUCUGUCUAGUUAGAGAAUCUUAGAUUGAAAAAAGAAAAAUCGUGAAGUUAUUCACCUUCUAAAAAUGGUUUUA